rnacentral:rRNA from 1 species
UACGGAGGAUGCGAGCGUUAUCCGGAUUUAUUGGGUUUAAAGGGUGCGUAGGCGGCCUUAUAAGUCAGCGGUGAAAUUUUGCAGCUUAACUGUAACAGUGCCGUUGAUACUGUAGGGCUAGGAUUUGGUUGCUGUGGGUGGAAUGUGUGGUGUAGCGGUGAAAUGCUUAGAUAUCACACAGAAUAUCGAUUGCGAAGGCAGCUCACAAAGCCAAGAUUGACGCUGAGGCACGAAAGUGUGGGGAUCAAACAGGA